UACCAAGGGAGGAAAAAUGCCAGCCGGGGUCUCAGCCGGCUGCCAGCCUGGGGUUCCUUCACCCAGGCCGGCAGCAGGCGCUGAGUGAGACUGGCGGUGGGACCCUGGCUGGCAGGAGCCGGCGGUGGAAACCCCAGAGCGGUGGCGGGCUCAACCUGCCGCGGCAUGCCAUCAAAAAUCGGCUCACAUGCCACCUUUGGCACGUGUGCCGUAGGUUGCCGACCCCUGAUCUAGGGGCUGAUUUAGGUGAGAGGCUGAUGAAUCCACUAGUGGCCCAUCGCAAUCCUUUUUACACAGUAGCCAAUCCUGUUUGUAAAUCCCGAGGUGGCUGGCUCAGUCUCCCAGGAUAUUCCAUCCAAGAGGUCAUUGUUACUGAGCAUGUCUAUGGCGGUGGUGACUGGAGGCCAGCCAGGCCGGGACCCUAGGCGCUGUACGACUGCAUCUGAAUCAGGGGAGGUGCAUAGGCAGAUGAGUCCUGUUAACUUUCCCCUUCAGAAUCCCUCCUGAAUAUUAUUGAAACUCACAAGUUAUAUACGGUCCAGUGUCGGGAAAGAAAUGGAUUGGGCUGGAUGCUACCAGCGUGUGGCAUAAGAUUAAAUUACAUUUUGUCGGCAAUCUGCACGAUAUAUGGGCUCUUUAAAUUUUAUAUGGGGCCCAAUAAAUUGUUUGAAAUAGCCA